CCAAGUGGAACCGGGUGGCGCAUUAGGUUGAGAACAGUGUUUACAUAAAAUGGCUGUAAAUUCCCACCCGUUUCUGGCCCUUGAAUGCAUCAUGCCCCGUUUCUCCACCUUCACUUCCGUUCGCAGCAUUUGUCGGGCUCAUCAGUGUGUGUGUAGGCACCAGGUGUGCCCGCCAGGUUUAGAGAGUCCGGUCCAUUGUUGGAUCUGUCGGUUGAGCGCUGGCGCCGCCAACAUUUGGACCCUGCACAUUUGAGCUGCUGGAUGCAUUUCAGCGGUUCUUUACUUCAGCAUCUGUACGCUGUUGUGGCUGAUUAAGCACAACUCUUCAGCUUCUUCUUCCAGCGCCAGAGAACGUAGCGACCCGGUUGGCUGGAGCAAGUCACAUGGGCUACACGUCAACGUGACCCUUCAGAAUAAGAGAUUUUUCUCACACUUGACCGUUUUUAGCUGCUGACAAAAUAAGUGUGUUUUGUACGUUUUUAAACUAAAUAAAAUAUCAUAACAUGAA